rnacentral:rRNA from 1 species
AGCAGCAGCCGCGGUAAUACAGAGGGUGCGAGCGUUAAUCGGAUUUACUGGGCGUAAAGCGUGCGUAGGCGGCUUCUUAAGUCGGAUGUGAAGUCCCUGAGCUUAACUUAGGAAUUGCAUUCGAUACUGGGAAGCUAGAGUAUGGGAGAGGAUGGUAGAAUUCCAGGUGUAGCGGUGAAAUGCGUAGAGAUCUGGAGGAAUACCGAUGGCGAAGGCAGCCAUCUGGCCUAAUACUGACGCUGAGGUACGAAAGCAUGGGGAGCAAACAGGAUUAGAUACCCCUGUAGUCCCUGUCUCUUAUAC